GACGAACGUUGGCGGCGUGCUUAAUACAUGCAAGUCAACUGAAGCAGUGGUAGCAAUAUCGCUGUGGAGGUGGCGCACGGGUGAGUAACACGUAGGUAAUCUGCCUUCAGGUCUGGCAUAACUCCGGGAAACCGGGGCUAAUAGCAGCUGAUGCAGCGGCUCGACAUCGAGACAGUUGUUAAAGCUAUGGCGCCUGAAGAUGAGCCUGCGUCUGAUUAGCUAGUUGGCGGGGUAACGGCCCACCAAGGCAACGAUCAGUAGCUGGUCUGAGAGGAUGAUCAGCCACACUGGAACUGAGACACGGUCCAGACUCCUACGGGAGGCAGCAGUAAGGAAGAGUGCUCAAUGGGAGAAAUCCUGAAGCAGCAACGCCGCGUGAGGGACGAAGGGCUUUUGCUUGUAAACCUCUGUAGUGUGAGAAAAAAAUCCCAAUCUGUGGGACAUGAGGGUAUCUCAAAAGUAAGCCCCGGCUAACUACGUG
rnacentral:rRNA from 1 species